AGCACCUUGUGAAACUUCAGUACCUGAUGCUAUAAUUCAGAGAAGGACAUGUAAUAACAGGCUUUGUGACAGGUUGCUAUGUGUCGAGCAGCUUACUUACUACAUGCCAUGCCGUUUCUGCCCUUGAGCCAGCCAAUGACCUGGGCACUCUGAAAUCAUGAGUCAAAACAGAUCCUUUCUCAGCUUCCUGACCACUGUGCUGUGAAGUUUCCUCCAUCAACCCCUUCCACCACGCUGAUUA